rnacentral:misc_RNA from 1 species
CAGAGAACUUGCCCUUUGGGUAGAUCUCCCACCCUUUGUUUACUAUACUUUUGUUGCUUUGGCAGGCCCGUCAUGGACCACUGGCUUCGGCUAGUCAGCGCUUGCCAGAGGACCUAAAACUCUUGAUUUUGUGUUGUCUGAGUACUACAGAAUAGUAA